UCCUGCACCAAAAGUGCAUGUCCUUUCCC
rnacentral:piRNA from 1 species